UUGUAGCGAGUAUCUCCCCGAUAUUAGGGAUUUGAGUUGGUGAGUCUAUUGAGGGCGAACCUAUGGGUUAGCCAAGAGAUUGAGUAAAGGAAAUGUGAUUUUGCAUGCAUCAUGAGCAUUCUAUUUGAGCAUAAUUGCUGAUUAUAUCUUGUUCAGGCAUAUUAGCUGUAUUUGUAUAGUUUGGUUAUUAUCUAUCUGUUUAUUCUUCUAUUAUGCCUGAUUUAGACAUAGUGGGAAAGUCAGCAAGAUCGGCAGCCGAACCUACUGGGAAACCGACUGUUUGAAGUAAAAAAAAAAAAAAAAUUAGGGUAAACUAGUCCUAAUCAAAACUGAUUAAAUUCGGACUCAUACCAUUAAAUUUUUGGGCCAAUAAUUAUAGUUUAAAUAUACAAUAGAUCCAUUCAUAAAUGUGAGUUGGUGGGCCUAAUGAAAGCCCAUGCAAAAAAAAAAGGGCCUCAUUUCAGCCCAUUAAAUAUUAUCAUUUGGGCCCAAUAAAUUAAAACGGGUCUGAUCAAAGACGGUCCACAUCCACACCCUAUAAAAUAUAUGUUCGAAAUUCAAUUUCAAAUCACAACUCAUUCAAAAUUCGAUUUCGAAUUCCCAACCAAUUCCCAUAACAUCUUCCAACGACCCAUUCAAAAUUCGAUUUCGAAUUUCGAAUUCCCAACCAAUUCCCAAAAUAUCCUCCAACAAUCCAUUCAAAAUUCGAUUUCGAAUUUCGAAUUCCCUAACCAAUUCCCAAAAUAUCCUCCAACAAUCCAUUCAAAAUUCGAUUUCAAAUUUCCAACCAAUUCCCAACCAAUUCCCAAAAUAUCCUCUAACAACCCAUUCAAAAUUCGAAUUUCGAAUUUCGAAUUCCCAACCUAUUUCCAAAAUAUCCUCUAACAACCCAUUCAAAAUUCGAAUUUUGAAUUUCCAACGAAUUCCUAACCAAUCCCAAAUAUCUUUCAACCAACUACAACAACCUAUUCAAAAUUCGAAUUCGAAUUUUGAAUCCCUCAAAAUAUCUCUCACCACUCAUCUCAUUAUAAAUACGAGAACCGAAAUCAAACUCCAGAGAAUUUUUUAUGGAGACGAUAGAUAAAAAA
rnacentral:lncRNA from 1 species